rnacentral:lncRNA from 1 species
AGUUGGAUGCUGAAACUUGCAGUCACACAAGGACUUGAACCUAGAGCUUUUCUAAAGCCCGUACUCUUUCCAGUACCCUGAGCCAGGGGAGCCAGCGGGCAGAAAUGACGUGUGAGGUACCCUCUCUCUCUUCACUUCCAUGUGAUCUGUUACUCAUUUUGUCAAGACAUCCUGGGUCCCAGGUGCCAGGUGCUACACAAGAUACUGGCUAUAGCAGCGAACAGGACAGCCCGUCUCAUCCUCAUGGAGGUCACAGGACAAUGAGAAGAAAGACUUUUUUAUUUUUAUUUUUUUGAGACGGAGUUUUGCUCUUGUUGCCGAGGCUGGAGUGCAGUGGUGUGAUCUCGACUCACUGCAACCUCCGCCUCCCAAGUUCAAGCAAUUAUCCUGCCUCAGGCCUCUUGAGUAGCUGGGAUUACAGGCACCUGCCACCACUCCUGGCUAAUUUUUUGUAUUUUUAGUAGAGACAGGGGUUUCAUCAUGUUGGCCAGGCUGGUCUCGAACUCCUGACCUCAGGUGAUCCACCCACCUCGGCCUCCCAAAGUGCAGGGAUUACAGGCAUGAGCCAUCGAACCCGGCCCAAGAAGAAAGACAUUGAACAAGUAAUUACAGGGUAUUGGGUGUUAUGAAAGAAAAGCAUGGUACUGUAUAAUGAGGUCAUCUAAUUUAGUCUGGGGUGACAAGGAAUGCCUACUAAAGAAGGUAUCGUUUAAGACAUACCUGGGGAAUAGCGGUAGUGAAAAUAGAAGCUCCAGAAAUGCAGGGACCAUGGCUGACAUGUUUACCAUGCCAGUGUCUGGCAUGGAAGAGGCCCAAUUCCUUUGGUUGAAAGGAUGAAGUAAUCUAGCUGAAUAAAGGGUGUGUGCGUGCACGCAGGUGUGUUUGUAGUUAACCUUCCUUUAGCUCAGCUUAGGAAACAGCUUUUGUAAAACUGCGUAACUAGUAGUAGGUGAGAGAGGAAUACGAAUGAUAUACACACCAUUAAAGACAACUUACUAACAGCAUGA